GACGAAGGAUGCAAGCGUUAUCCGGAUUCAUUGGGUUUAAAGGGAGCGUAGGUGGCCUUAUAAGUCAGUGGUGAAAUCUCUGGGCUUAACCCAGAAAUUGCCAUUGAUACUGUAGGGCUUGAGUAUAGAUGCCGUUGGCGGAAUAUGACAUGUAGUGGUGAAAUACAUAGAGAUGUCAUAGAACACCGAUUGCGAAGGCAGCUAACGAAACUAUAACUGACACUGAGGCUCGAAAGUGUGGGGAUCAAACAGGAUUAGAUACCCUGGUAGUCCACACUGUAAACGAUGAUUACUCGCUGCUAGAGGGCAACUUUUAGUGGCUUAGCGAAAGCGAUAAGUAAUCCACCUGGGGAGUACGCCGGCAACGGUGAA
rnacentral:rRNA from 1 species